rnacentral:rRNA from 1 species
GCGACCCCAGGUCAGGCGGGGCUACCCGCUGAAU